CAUGUAGGCGGUAUAGCAAGUCUGGUGUUAAAUAUCCCGGCUCAACCGAGAAAACGCACUGGAAACUGCUAAACUAGAGUAUAGGAAGGGAAGCUAGAAUUCCUGGUGUAGGGGUGAAAUCUGUAGAUAUCAGGAAGAAUACCGGUGGCGAAGGCGAGCUUCUGGCCAGAUACUGACGCUGAGAUGCGAAAGCGUGGGGAGCGAACAGGAUUAGAUACCCUGGUAGUCC
rnacentral:rRNA from 1 species